CACGUAGGGCGCAAGCGUUGUCCGGAAUUAUUGGGCGUAAAGAGCUCGUAGGCGGUCUGUUACGUCUGCUGUGAAAACCCAGGGCUUAACCCUGGGCUUGCAGUGGAUACGGGCAGACUAGAGGCAGGUAGGGGAGAAUGGAAUUCCCGGUGUAGCGGUGAAAUGCGCAGAUAUCGGGAGGAACACCGGUGGCGAAGGCGGUUCUCUGGGCCUGACCUGGCGCUGAGGAGCGAAAGCGUGGGGAGCAAACAGG
rnacentral:rRNA from 1 species